rnacentral:rRNA from 1 species
AUUGAACGCUGGCGGCAUGCUUUACACAUGCAAGUCGAACGGUAACAGGGAGCUUGCUCCGCUGACGAGUGGCGAACGGGUGAGUAAUGCAUCGGAACGUACCCAGUCGUGGGGGAUAACGUAGCGAAAGUUACGCUAAUACCGCAUACGUCCUGAGGGAGAAAGCGGGGGGACCGAAAGGCCUCGCGCGAUUGGAGCGGCCGAUGUCGGAUUAGCUAGUUGGUAGGGUAAAGGCCUACCAAGGCGACGAUCCGUAGCGGGUCUGAGAGGAUGAUCCGCCACACUGGGACUGAGACACGGCCCAGACUCCUACGGGAGGCAGCAGUGGGGAAUUUUGGACAAUGGGCGGAAGCCUGAUCCAGCCAUGCCGCGUGAGUGAAGAAGGCCUCGGUUGUAAG